UGAAGUGAUCCAUUAUCACGCAUCACAAUAACUGAUUUUAAAAACAUCUAUGUAAGUGCAUUAAAAGCCACUACAAGAAAUCAAAGUAAACAGAAUAAAUGCAGCGUAGGAAAAGGACAAGCUAAUUUGGCUAGGCAAUCUCUUGUAAACGCUUCUAAGACCAACGCAUAUGAAGUCACCAGAAAUGACGAAUAGUACCGACCUUUGAAGUGGUUUGAAAGAGUAACGUAUAAAAAAAGGUAUAAAUACUGGGAUCCACAAAAGGGAACAUUUGGAAAAGUACCAAGAAGGGAUAUUGGUCUCACUAUGUUACUCAACCUUGCCGCCUCAAUUCAAGUUAAAAGGGAAACGAAGGAGAGCGGUUUUUUUUCUUUUUUUUUGAGUUGGAACUUGUAAAAUAAUUACGGCGUCAAUUCGAAAAUGGAGGAUUCUCAAGUUUAACGCUGCACUGGGGGGUCUCAGACUGUGCAGAUCUAGCCUCGGUCUCUUGGAAGAAAAACUGUUGGCGAAGACAGACGUGCUAUUUUUGUCCAGUCCAAGUAUAAAGAAAAAAAAAGAGGACUAAAAACCGGGAAAAGAUCUUAACAGCUGAAUACAGCAAAAAGAAAGAAAUAUUGUGCGUUUAUAAAUUAAAAGUGUGUUAAGUGCCAAUUUCAAUUGAUUGGCGGUUAGUACCGGCCUAAACUUCGGGCAAUCGUUUGGGUACCUGUCUGAACCCCAAUAAGAAAGCUCGCAACAACAAUUUCCCCGAUAUUGGGGCCUCCGCCCGCGACAGGGGACUUAUGCUCCUCGCCCAACUACAGCUCCGUACCAAAAAUUCCCAGCGCUAGGCCGAGCAGCACAAAGCGAGAGGCGUAAAAGAUCGGCUCAUCAGUCGCUUUGCGGGCGCGAGCCACUUAUGUGUCACGGACCCGCGAUAUAUUGGAGGCCGUCCAAGUCUGCGGAAAUUGUUAAAGCUAUGUAAACGGUCAACCAAUUUCUACCCGAAAUAUAGAUCUGGGUCUAGACCUAUUUUCGUUUCCCCAUACGAAGUGCCGAGGAGUGCCCAGAUGUGAAGCCGGCGGCAACGACUGUCGUUUUUUUUUUUUAUCCAUCAGUGUAACCGCUGAUUCCUAAUUUAUGUUAUAGAGUCAUUAGUGUAAUUAGCUUAGUAAAUUUCUUUUGGUUGUGUUUUAAAUUCUGUUCGGAAGAAAUAAAAAGUGGAAUGUGUGACAGGGCGAAAGUGAACAACGGUUAACCGGCAGAGGAGAGCGAACGUUGCCGCAGUCCAUGGAAGCGCUUUCAUCGCUGUUUCAACGCAUUUAUUAAAACAAAUCAAGGAAGGCCGUAAGUGAUCCCAAAAACAUAAAGAUCAAAUAUUGGAGUUUGUUUGUUAUUAGCAACUAUUUAUUGCAUAACCGAAAAAGAAAAAAAUCUCACGUAGUCAGGGGCUUCUUCGCUUAAGAGAGGCUGGGCGCUCUCUCUUAUGCCUUGCUGGCAACCAUAAGCGCUUACGCCGCGCAUAAGAGACAGCCCUCUUAAGAACAAGGCACAAAAGGGAAGAAGCGAGGCUGGUCGCUCUGACGUUCUUUUAUGCUUUCUACUUGCGGUUGCUUUCGCUAAUGCACUUGAAUAACUGACCUGCCAUAACGAUCGCUGCGCACAGUUUUUU